rnacentral:rRNA from 1 species
UACGGAGGGUGCAAGCGUUGCUCGGAAUUAUUGGGCGUAAAGGGUAGGUAGGUGGUCUCAUUUGUCUGGGGUGAAAGCCUUGAGCUUAACUCAAGAAGUGCCCCAGAAACGGUGGGACUGGAGUCCUGGAGAGGGUCGUGGAAUUCCCGGUGUAGCGGUGAAAUGCGUAGAGAUGCGGAGGAACACCGAUGGCGAAGGCAGCCCCCUGGGCUAGCACUGACGCUCAGGCACGAAAGCGUGGGGAGCAAACAGG